GACGAACGCUGGCGGCGCGCUUAACACAUGCAAGUCGAACGGAAAGGCCUGCUUUCCCUUGUGGAUUUCGGGUACUCGAGUGGCGAACGUGUGAGUACCACGUUAGUGAUCUGCCCCCAACUUGGGUAUAAGCCUGGGAACCUGGGUCUAAUUCUCGCUAGGUCUUCAGGGUUGUGACUGUGCUGGGGAACGGUUUUCUAGUGGUUGGGGUUGAGGUCGCGGUCUAUCAGCUUGUUGCUGAGGUAAUGGCCUACCAAGGUGGCGACGGGUCGCCGGGCCGGGAGGGUGGACGGAGACGUUGAGACGGAGAUAUGGCCCAGACUCCUACGGGAGGCAGCUGUGGGGGAUAGUGCUGGAGGGUAGUAAGCCAGGGGCAGCGACGCGGCGUGGGAGAUGACGGCCCUCGGGGAGUAAACUCCUUUCGACCGCGAGUAAGCGACCGGGUUGGGAUGGUGGUGACGGUAGUGGUAGAAGAAGCACCGGCUAACUACGUG
rnacentral:rRNA from 1 species